UACAGAGGUCCCAAGCGUUGUUCGGAUUCACUGGGCGUAAAGGGUGCGUAGGUGGUACGGCAAGUCAGGUGUGAAAUCUCCAAGCUCAACUUGGAAACUGCAUUCGAAACUACCUUGCUAGAGGAUUUGAGGGGGGACUGGAAUACUUGGUGUAGCAGUGAAAUGCGUAGAUAUCAAGUGGAACACCAGUGGCGAAGGCGAGUCCCUGGAAAAUUCCUGACACUGAGGCACGAAAGCUAGGGGAGCAAACAGG
rnacentral:rRNA from 1 species